CUAACAAGGAUUCCCUUAGUAACUGCGAGUGAAGAGGGAAAAGCUCAAAUUUAAAAUCUGGCAGUGUUUUGCUGUCCGAGUUGUAACCUAGAGAAGUGUAACCUGUGCUGGACCGUGUAUAAGUCUCCUGGAAUGGAGCAUCAUAGAGGGUGAGAAUCCCGUCUUUGACAUGGACUACCAGUGCAUUGUGGUUGCGCACUCAACGAGUCGAGUUGUUUGGGAAUGCAGCUCUAAAUGGGUGGUAAAUUCCAUCUAAAGCUAAAUAUUGGCGAGAGACCGAUAGCGAACAAGUACCGUGAGGGAAAGAUGAAAAGAACUUUGGAAAGAGAGUUAAACAGUAUGUGAAAUUGUUGAAAGGGAAACGUUUGAAGUCAGUCGCGUUGGUUGGGGAUCAGCCUGACAUUGUUGGGUGUACUUCCUGGUUGACGGGCCAACAUCAGUUUUGACUGCCAGAAAAAGGCCAAAGGAAUGUGGCACCUUUGGGUGUGUUAUAGCCAUUGGUCGUAUAUGGUGGUUGGGACUGAGGAAAGCAGCGUGCCGAAAGGCCGGGUUUCGACCACGUUCACGCUGAGGAUGUUGGCAUAAUGGCUUUAAGCGACCCGUCUUGAAACACGGACCAAGGAGUCUAACAUGCGUGCGAGUGUUUGGGUGGAAAACCCUUACGCGUAAUGAAAGUGAAAGUUGAGAUCCCUGUCGCGGGGAGCAUCGACGCCCGGACCAGAACUUUUGGGACGGAUCUGCGGUAGAGCAUGUAUGUUGGGACCCGAAAGAUGGUGAACUAUGCCUGAAUAGGGUGAAGCCAGAGGAAACUCUGGUGGAGGCUCGUAGCGAUUCUGACGUGCAAAUCGAUCGUCAAAUUUGGGUAUAGGGGCGAAAGACUAAUCG
rnacentral:rRNA from 1 species